UGGGAAUUUUGGACAAUGGGCGCAAGCCUGAUCCAGCCAUGCCGCGUGCGGGAAGAAGGCCUUCGGGUUGUAAACCGCUUUUGUCAGGGAAGAAAUCUUCUGAGUUAAUACCUCGGGAGGAUGACGGUACCUGAAGAAUAAGCACCGGCUAACUACGUGCCAGCAGCCGCGGUAAUACGUAGGGUGCAAGCAUUAAUCGGAAUUACUGGCGUAAAGCGUGCGCAGGCGGUUUUGUAAGACAGAGGUGAAAUCCCCGGGCUCAACCUGGGAACUGCCUUUGUGACUGCAAGGCUUGAGUGCGGCAGAGGGGGAUGGAAUUCCGCGUGUAGCAGUGAAAUGCGUAGAUAUGCGGAGGAACACCGAUGGCGAAGGCAAUCCCCUGGGCCUGCACUGACGCUCAUGCACGAAAGCGUGGGGAGCAAAACAGGAUUAGAUACCCUGGUAGUCCACGCCCUAAACGAUGUCAACUGGUUGUUGGGAAGGUUCCUUCUCAGUAACGUAGCUAACGCGUGAAGUUGACCGCCUGGGGAGUACGGCCGCAAGGUUGAAACUCAAAUGAAUUGACGGGGUCAUAGCUGUUUCC
rnacentral:rRNA from 1 species